UUAAGUUCAGCGGGUAGUCCUACCUGAUUUGAGGUCAAAGGUGUCAAAGAGAAAUCCAUCCCUUUACAAUGUCUCAUGCGAGACGAUUAGAAGCGGACUUUCAAUUGCAAGUUACUCCGGUGAAAAGACAUUAUUACACCGUUGCAUCGAGCAUAAGCCCCGCUAAUGCAUUCAAGAGGAGCCGACCGCGAGGGACCAGC
rnacentral:misc_RNA from 1 species